UACGUAGGGCGCAAGCGUUGUCCGGAAUUAUUGGGCGUAAAGAGCGCGUAGGCGGUCCGAUAAGUCGGCUGUGAAAGUCCAGGGCUCAACCCUGGAAAGCCGGCCGAUACUGUCGGACUAGAGUCCGGAAGAGGCAAGUGGAAUUCCCGGUGUAGCGGUGAAAUGCGCAGAUAUCGGGAGGAACACCAAUUGCGAAGGCAGCUUGCUGGGACGGUACUGACGCUGAGGAGCGAAAGCGUGGGGAGCGAACAGG
rnacentral:rRNA from 1 species